UCGUUGGUCUAGAAGUAGAUCACCUGAUAGUAGGUCUAGAAGUAGAUCACCUGAUCGUAGAUCCAGAAGUAGGUCACCUAUCUACAUUGGGAAUUCACCAGCGUACAGUGCAAGUUCACCUCCUUACAAUGCUAAUUCCCCUCUUUACAGGGCAAAUACGCCUGAUUCACCUUUGUACAUUUCUCAAAAUUCAAGAUCCCUUAGCAGAUCACCAGAAAACACCAG
rnacentral:lncRNA from 1 species